GUUUCACAAAGUGAUGCAAAGAAACAUGGCUUUGAAGAUUGAGAUUAUCCUUCUUAUCUUCGUUUGUGGUACAAUUAUUUUAGGAGGCAAUGAUCUGAAAAUUGUUGAUGGUAAAGUUUGCCAGUUUAUAUGUGAUUCUUCAGCUGCAUAUAUGACUUGCCCUUCUUCAGGUGAUCAACAUGUCCCUCCAUCAUGCAAUUGCUGUUUUGCAUCAACUGGUUGUACAAUUUACAGAGCAAAUGGAACUCCUAUUUGUACUGCUAAGUGAAAAAUGGAUGUGAUGUGAAUUUCUUUUCACAGACACAAAAAUAAGUCAUCUACAUUUCAAUAAGUAUGUUGUAAUAUGUAUGUGUGAUAAAAAAUAAAGAGAAAUUUUAUUUUGCUACUAUUUAAUAUUUA